GAUCUUGUAUUACGGAACGAGUAAAGAGACUUGCCGGUAAACGAGAUUGAAAUAGGUAUGCGGAUACUGACGAUCGAAUCUCGGGCAAGUAACAUACCGAAGGACAAAGGGAAUGACAUACGGGAUUAUACGAAUCCUUGGCACUGAGGUUCAAACGAUAAGAUCUUCGUAGCAUAUGUAGGAUCCAAUAUGGGCAUCCAGGUUCCGCUAUUGGAUAUUGACCGAGGAGUCUCUCGGGUCAUGUCUACAUAGUUCUCGAACCCGCAGGGUCUGCACACUUAAGGUUCGACGUUGUUUUAUGUGUAUUUGAGUUAUAUGGUUGGUUACCGAAUGUUGUUCGGAGUCCCGGAUGAGAUCACGGACGUCACGAGGGUUUCCGGAAUGGUCCGGAAAUGAAGAUUGAUAUAUAGGAUGACCUCAUUUGAUUACCGGAAGGUUUUCGGAGUUACCGGGAAUGAAGAAUGGGUUCCGGGAGUUCACCGGGGGGGGGGGGGCAACCCACCCCGGGGAAGCCCAUAGGCAUUGGGGGAGCCACACCAGCCCUUAGUGGGCUGGUGGGACAGCCCACAAGUUCCCAAUGUGCCAAGAGA
rnacentral:lncRNA from 1 species